rnacentral:rRNA from 1 species
CAGCAGCCGCGGGAAUACGGAGGGUGCAAGCGUUAAUCGGAAUUACUGGGCGUAAAGCGCACGCAGGCGGUUUGUUAAGUCAGAUGUGAAAUCCCCGAGCUUAACUUGGGAACUGCAUUUGAAACUGGCAAGCUAGAGUCUUGUGGAGGGGGGUAGAAUUCCAGGUGUAGCGGUGAAAUGCGUAGAGAUCUGGAGGAAUACCGGUGGCGAAGGCGGCCCCCUGGACAAAGACUGACGCUCAGGUGCGAAAGCGUGGGGAGCAAACAGGAUUAGAUACCCCAGUAGUCCCUGUCUCUUAUAC